UCACUUUUGGAUGAGUGAAGAAGUGCAUUAUAUUAUUUGAAUUGAUUGUAUAAAGCUAUUUCAGAAAAUGAUCAGUCAUCACAGUAGAGCUUUUUUCUACAUCAUGUUCAACAACAGAGUUCAAAAGUGUGAAACCAAAAAUUUACAAGAUGAACUUAUUGAAACAGAAAUGUUUGAAGUACCACAGAAAUCCCUCUGUGAAGCACCACCUACUGUCAUGGUUUUAUUUGAGCAUUUGCUCCUCAGAUGUGGGUGGUUUAGUGAUGUCAUUUGAAUGCUGUCAUCUUUAACGUUUUCUUGUAUUCCUGCUAAAACUAAACUGCUAUGUGAAGGAUUGUGUUGGUGGUAUUGAAGGUUGUUGGUUUGAAAAUUAACAUUUUUUUCUUAUAAGCUGUCUCCCUGUGUAGCCUUGAGUUGGACUGGGGACUUGUCCAGGUUGAACCUUCCCCCUGAGCCAGCGGGAUAGGCAGCAGCCCCCCGCGGCCCAACAGAGGAUUGAGUGGUUUAUAGAUCACGCAUGCAUGGAAUUCUUAAUUACUGAAGAAAUAUGAUGAAGUUUUUGCUAAAAUAAUUGUUUCAAAACGCUGAACAUGGAAUGCAUUGUUAUUAGAAGUGGAUAUCUGGAUUGAAUUUAAUAAUGUAACAGAUUUGUAGAAUGUCUUUUUUAUAUUAUUCUAAUGUAUAAUUUUUCUGACAAGCAACCCUGUAUGUGCUUAAAAUGAAACCAAUAAACCAAAAGUUUUAUAAAGGACAUGAAAGACAUUUUUAAGUUGCUCAUUUCUUCCAAUUUCUUCCUUUCUUCCUCUCUCAACUCUCUGACUAGCGGAAGCGAGACAGCAGCCCAGCAGACCACCCGGAGCCUCCAGCCAAGCGGCCCUGCACCACCUCUGGCUCUCAGCGUGGAGGCGAGGAACCAUCCCGGCCGGAGGUACACGCUGCCCAGCCAGAAAGGAGCACCAGCCCCCAGCCGUCCACCUCUGGCACACAGCAUCACCCUGAAGAGCCACAGAUAAGUCCCAGCCCCCAACCGUCCACCUCAGACUACGAUUCAGACUCUGUCAUAGAUUUUAAUAUCGAUACAUGUUCAGAGUUAGAUUCAGAUGACGAGUCAGAUUCUCUUUUUGACUCUGAUUCCCAGGACGAGAGCCACAGCCCCCCGAUGUCCAACUCUGCUGUGGAGGAGGAGCUGGUCAUUUUGUUCAGCUACGAAGGUCUUUGGGCCGAGGAAAACGAGGGCCAGCCCGUCGUCCACUUCCCAUCUGGACUACCAGACGCCGAGGUUGUUGAGGUACUGGACUCGGUUUGGGACCACUGGGUUUGCUCUCCUUACACACGUGAGAUGUAGCUUUCCUUUCAGUGAGUAGCUGGUCACACAUAGGGCAUUUAGUGGCAUAUUCCAUCGCCACACACACACUUUUCCCCUUCCUUAGAGAAAUUGCAUGUUCAAAUUUUAAUGAUAAGUUUAGGAUCUUUGAUGUUAGGGACAACUCUUACUUUUCCUCCUUUAAAAAAAACCCUUUUAGAAACACUAAUGGUAAGGUUAGGACCCUCUAAGUUAAGGAUUUCUGAAUCUUUCUGUACAGCUCUACAUUUUCCUACUUUCAAAAAAACAAUAAAACGACAAAAAAAAACUCUUUACAGUGUAUAGACAGUAAUGGUAAGGUUAGGAUACUCUGAGUUAAGGAUUUCUCAAUCUUUCUGUACAGCUCUUUCUUUUCCUCCUUUAAAAACACACAAAAAAGCAAAAAGUAAAAAAAUAACAUCCUAUGUAGUU